CACUACUGCAUUGCACUCCUGAGUUCAGCCGCAUUCACUUCACCUCCCACUUCCACACAUCUUCUGCACAACGUUACACGUCUUCUGCACAAGCUACUCCCUUCAUUUUAGGGCCCCUAAUAAUCAGGCUCAUAGAACCCUGACCCUCCAAUCAGGUCUCUCUCUCUCUCUGAGUCUCUCCCCUGCUCGAGUUGCGAUCCCUGCCCAAAUCUCCACUGUCCCGCUCUCCCGCCGACCGAGCUCUGGCCACAAACCCACCGACCGAGCGCUGCCUAGCAGACCGAUCGCUGCCCCUCUCCGACCAGGUCAUGCACAGCUGUUGCUCCUUUGGAAAGGUUGAAAAUAUUGCUACAGGUUGGUUUUACAGCUUGGAAGAGUUUUGCAGCUGUGCUACAAUAAGUUGACUGGCAGCAUACCAACACAAAUAGGAAAUAUGAGGAGGCCAAGUGUUCUUGCGUUGCAAUACAAUCAAUUGACUGGUGCAAUUCCUGCAAGUUUGGGUGAUUUGCAAAUGUUAACGAGGUCGGAUUUGAGCUUUAAUUACUUUUUUGGCUCUAUUCCAGUAUGGUUAGUUAAUGCUCCCAUUCCAGAGGUUCUUAACAUACAAAACAACUCUCUCUCAGCCUCUCAGGCAUGGUCCCUUCAGGUAAUGUUGGCUGUGUAUGAAAACUCUUUUUCCCUCCUCCCCCCAAUUUUUCCCCCCACCCUUGGGCCCACUCAGCAAGGUCCUCUUCUUAUUUUUCUCAUUUUUGCCCCUAAGCAACUGGCCGUUGGGUUGCUACACUUACAUGCUCUCGUGCUUUAAGUAUAGAUGUAUUUGGAGAAUCAAGGUGGUCAAAAGUUCUGAUUUUAUUUUUCUGGCCUUGUGGAUGAAAACUUAGAUUUGAAGAGACUGAAUGGUGGAUUCCAGUACAAA